UCUUAGUGUGGUCGUUGUGUGGUCUCUUA
rnacentral:piRNA from 1 species